rnacentral:rRNA from 1 species
UGGGGAAUAUUGGACAAUGGACGAAAGCCCGAUCCAGCGAUGCCGCGUGUGUGAAGAAGGCCUUCGGGUUGUAAAGCACUUUUGUUGGGGACGAAAAAAACUAGGCUAAUAUCCUAGUUAUUGACUUAACCCAAAGAAUAAGCACCGGCUAACUCUGUGCCAGCAGCCGCGGUAAGACAGAGGGUGCAAGCGUUAAUCGGAAUUACUGGGCGUAAAGGGCUUGUAGGCGGUUACUUUAGUCGGAUGUUAAAUCCCCGGGCUUAACCUGGGGCUGUCAUUCGAUACUGGGUAACUUAGAGUUGAGUAGAGGUAAGUGGAAUUUCCGGUGUAGCGGUGAAAUGCGUAGAUAUCGGAAGGAACAUCAGUGGCGAAGGCGGCUUACUGGACUCAAACUGACGCUGAGGAGCGAAAGCGUGGGGAGCAAACAGG